AACGCCGAAGGCGCACGGAGCACUAUUACCUUCUCACCAAAGGAGUUCCAGGCAGAUCCUGGCAGAUUGGAGAACACCUGAUGUGGAGAAAUGGUAGUCUAACUGAGUUGGGAAAAAGCUGAACCAUCCUGAACUCAAGGGUGUCAACUGGAUACUCAUGGGGUUAACCUAAAACUGUCUCCUAAAAGAAACCCUUACAGAUGUUGGCUUUCAGCUCACAUUAUCCCGAAUGAUCAAGAGACCGUGGUUUGACCAACUGGAGUGGUUUAAAGAAGCAGUGAUGCAACCUGAUCCAACCCAGCUUCAUCGAUCUUAUCCAAUGUUGUCUACCCGCCUGACAGCUCUUCAAGAGUCUUGAGGGUAUUUCCAAUUAUUGAAGGUGACCUUGAAGGGGAAAUUUAGCAACUGUUACAGAAAACACCAGUUCAGCCUGGGAAGGAGGAGGGUGUUCCAGUCAGCAAUAAAUGUACAUAUUGCCUUUUCCUUAAUCAAACACGUCAAAUUGGCCAUCUCAGCAAGUUUUAUCAUUUUCAGCAAGAAGCUCUGUCAAGCUUUCAAGAUACUGUUAUUAUACCCUUUCACAAUAAAAUAGUGUUUCUGUAGUU